GUGGGGAAUCUUAGACAAUGGGCGCAAGCCUGAUCUAGCCAUGCCGCGUGAGCGAUGAAGGCCUUAGGGUUGUAAAGCUCUUUCAGCUGGGAAGAUAAUGACGGUACCAGCAGAAGAAGCCCCGGCUAACUCCGUGCCAGCAGCCGCGGUAAUACGGAGGGGGCUAGCGUUGUUCGGAAUUACUGGGCGUAAAGCGCACGUAGGCGGAUCAGAAAGUCAGAGGUGAAAUCCCAGGGCUCAACCUUGGAACUGCCUUUGAAACUCCUGAUCUUGAGGUUGAGAGAGGUGAGUGGAAUUCCGAGUGUAGAGGUGAAAUUCGUAGAUAUUCGGAGGAACACCAGUGGCGAAGGCGGCUCACUGGCUCGAUACUGACGCUGAGGUGCGAAAGCGUGGGGAGCAAACAGGAUUAGAUACCCGUGUAGUCC
rnacentral:rRNA from 1 species